UCCCCUAGUAACUGCGAGUGAAGCGGGAAAAGCUCAAAUUUAAAAUCUGGUGGUCUUUGGCCAUCCGAGUUGUAAUUUAGAGAAGCGUCUUCCGCGCUGGACCAUGCACAAGUCUCCUGGAAUGGAGCGUCAUAGAGGGUGAGAAUCCCGUCUUUGGCAUGGACCCCAGGGCUUCUGUGAUGCGCUCUCAAAGAGUCGAGUUGUUUGGGAAUGCAGCUCAAAAUGGGUGGUGAACUCCAUCUAAAGCUAAAUAUUGGCGAGAGACCGAUAGCGAACAAGUACCGUGAGGGAAAGAUGAAAAGCACUUUGGAAAGAGAGUGAAACAGUACGUGAAAUUGUUGAAAGGGAAACGCUUGAAGUCAGUCGCGUCGACCGAGACUCAGCCUUGCCUCGGCUUGGUGUACUUCUCGGACCGACGGGUCAGCAUCAAUUUCGAUCCUUGGAUAAUGGCAAGGGAAAGGUGGCACCUUUACAGGUGUGUUAUAGUCCUCUGUCGCAUGCAAGGGUCGGGAUUGAGGAACUCAGCAUGCACCUCAUCGGUGUCGGGGCCUCGGCCUACGUUACGUGCUUAGGAUGCUGGCAUAAUGGCUUUAAACGACCCGUCUUGAAACACGGACCAAGGAGUCUAACAUGCACGCGAGUGUUCGGGUGGAAAACCCGUGCGCGUAAUGAAAGUAAAAGUUGGGACCUCUGUCGUGGAGGGCACCGACGCCCGGACCAGACCUUCUGUGACGGCUCUGCGGUAGAGCGUGUAUGUUGGGACCCGAAAGAUGGUGAACUAUGCCUGA
rnacentral:rRNA from 1 species